UACGGGGGGAGCAAGCGUUGUUCGGAUUUACUGGGCGUAAAGGGCGCGUAGGCGGCGCGACAAGUCACUUGUGAAAUCUCCGGGCUUAACUCGGAGCGGCCAAGUGAUACUGUCGUGCUAGAGUGCGGAAGGGGCAACUGGAAUUCUCGGUGUAGCGGUGAAAUGCGUAGAUAUCGAGAGGAACACCUGCGGCGAAGGCGGGUUGCUGGGCCGACACUGACGCUGAAGCGCGAAAGCCAGGGGAGCGAAUGGG
rnacentral:rRNA from 1 species